UACAGAGGUCCCAAGCGUUGUUCGGAUUCAUUGGGCGUAAAGGGUGCGUAGGUGGCGCCGUAAGUCAGGUGUGAAAUCUCGGGGCUUAACUCCGAAACUGCAUUUGAUACUGCGGUGCUUGAGGACUGGAGAGGAGACUGGAAUUUACGGUGUAGCAGUGAAAUGCGUAGAGAUCGUAAGGAAGACCAGUGGCGAAGGCGGGUCUCUGGACAGUUCCUGACACUGAGGCACGAAGGCCAAGGGAGCAAACGGG
rnacentral:rRNA from 1 species